rnacentral:rRNA from 1 species
AUGCACGUGAACUUCGCAGGCAGGCACUCAUGUUCAAGGAGAACAAAGAGCGGGAGAAGGCCGAAAGUAAAAAAAAGCGGGAAACAAGUUGCCCAGCUCGGGGAACAAAGUAAACAAUCGAUUGCCCCGCUUAUAGUGGAAGCCUUCUGUCCGGAUGCCCCCGAGAUCAUACAAGCUGCGGCGGCACAGGGAUUGACUGUAACGAGUGCCAGAGAACAAGCGGCCAACUUAGGUAUUACUCUUCGUGAACUGUUAGGCCUUGAUGAGGCGCCAGUGAAGGAGGUAGUAAUUACAUAUGUCAAGAAUGGGCCUCUCGUCGAGCCUGCGCAGGAAAAGGAUCUACCUCCACAAAUGAAAGGUCUGCUGAAAUGGUACAAGGGUUACAUAAAAAAUAAAAACGCCAAAGAAUAUAUUUAUGCGGAAGUUAGACAUGAGCAUCACUUCAAACAUUACUAUGUACAAAUUGAACUGAGUGAAUUGUUCCAGCUUUUCAAUCUGCGCGAGCUCGAUAAAUCUAUCAUCAGUUGCUACGUUCUAAUGAAGAUUAAGGAAUGCAGAGUAAGGAACAUCCAUGAUGUUGGGUUCAUUGACCCACACAUUGUUAAUGGACAUGUGUUGGAGCGUCACCCCGCCGACGUGGAGGCAGACCUGUGGCACUUUCUUACAAAGCAGGAACUCAAAAGUGAUAUUCUAUUUCCUUACCAUUUUGAGUUCCACUGGAUUCUGCUAGUAAUUAAAGUUAACACCUCAGAAUGUCUCGUCCACGACUCUGUGAAUAUGGAUCCAAAGCUUUGGGGCGGCAUGAGAAGAAUGCUGCAGAAGUAA